GGAAAUUUUAAGGGAAGUGCGGGUUGGGAGACUGAAAGUUUCAAGGAGAUGGGGGACAAUGAGAGAGAGAUCCGCCUCUGAGCUCGCUGUUGUGUAAACCUUUAAGUUAGACAGAAAAUACAGGGUUCGGGAACGGGGCGUUUCGGAGAUGGGUUGAAGGGGUCGGGACUUCGAAAUUCCUAUAAGUUGUUUUGAGGUUGUAUCUGCAUAGUCUGAAACCCAGGGAGAAAGGAGUCCCGAGAGAGAACUUUCAGAAGAGUAAUUGAAGAGCGCCAAUUCAAGGGGCACAUUCGCAUUCUUUCUCUACAGGAUUUACAAGUGAAAGUUCCUUUAUUGCUUCCAGGGAGAGCAAAGAAAAUUAAGCGUAGCAGAUUUUAUUUGCAGUCAUGGAGAUUAGUGAAUAUGGUGUUAUGACUUUAACUGUGGCUGAACCAAGUUGUGCUGCCAUCUAAAUUUCGUUCAAGCCCGAGUCACUUUUUCAUGUGGGAACUCGAGGAAGGCAUUGCAUUAAAUGGCGGCACACUUCACAAGCAAGACUUCAAUCAGAAGUGACGUUGAUUUGACAAUGCCUUGACGAGCCAACAACAUGCUGAUAGUCAUUCGAGGAUCGCCGUGCAUUAGCAGAUAAAUGGGUUGAUAAAUUAAAGUCACAGUGGAACCAAAUUGAGUGAUGUCAGCACGCAUUAUUCAACACAUGGCUUCAUUUUCUUUCCUUUGUCAUGCCAGCAAAAGGCAUACAGCAAUGGAUAAAUAGGAAUUUCGUUAAAUAUUGGGUAGACCAAAGCCAUCACCCUUAAUUAACUGACUACUGUGAGACUUAACACGGCUGGAUGCCAAAAAGUUGCUAAUGUUUUGUUCUUGUAUUUUGAUUAUGACUCCAUAUUCUUGGUCACAAAGAUCAAUUAAUUUCAACUGUGUAUUGUCCAUCUGUCUUUACCUCUUGUUGUCUUCUGUCUUUACCUCUCGUUGUCUUGGUGUAGCAGCCAGCAUAAUCAAAGACCCCACCCACCCGGGACAUUCUCUCUUCUCUCCUCUUCCAUCGGGUAGAAGAUACAGGAGCCUGAGGGCACGUACCACCAGACUUAAGGACAGCUUCUAACCCACUGUGAUAAGACUAUUGAACGGUUCCCUUAUACAAUGAGAUGGACUAUGACCUCACGAUCUACCUUGUUGUGACCUUGCACCUUAUUGCACUGCACUUUCUCUGUAGCUGUGACACUUUACUCUGUACUGUUAUUGUUUUUACCUGUACUACAUCAAUGCACUCUGUACUAACUCAAUGUAACUGCACUGUGUAAUGAAUUGACCUGUAUGAUCGGUUUGUAAGACAAGCUUUUCACUGUACCUCAGUACAAAUGACAAUAAACCAAUACCAAUCUGUA